AAUGGGGGAAACCCUGAUCCAGCCAUGCCGCGUGAAUGAUGAAGGCAUUCGGGUUGUAAAGUUCUUUUGGUAGGGACGAUAAUGACGGUACCCACAGAAUAAGCUCCGGCUAACUUCGUGCCAGCAGCCGCGGUAAUACGAAGGGGGCUAGCGUUGUUCGGAAUUACUGGGCGUAAAGGGCGCGUAGGCGGUUUGACAAGUCAGGUGUGAAAGCCCCGAGCUCAACUCGGGAACGGCGCUUGAGACUGUCAAUCUUGAAUUCGGGAGAGGUGAGUGGAAUUCCCAGUGUAGAGGUGAAAUUCGUAGAUAUUGGGAGGAACACCAGUGGCGAAGGCGGCUCACUGGACCGACAUUGACGCUGAGGCGCGAAAGCGUGGGGAUCAAA
rnacentral:rRNA from 1 species